rnacentral:rRNA from 1 species
UGGGGAAUCUUGGACAAUGGGGGCAACCCUGAUCCAGCCAUGCCGCGUGAGUGAUGAAGGCCUUAGGGUCGUAAAGCUCUUUCGCCUGUGAAGAUAAUGACGGUAGCAGGUAAAGAAACCCCGGCUAACUCCGUGCCAGCAGCCGCGGUAAUACGGAGGGGGUUAGCGUUGUUCGGAAUUACUGGGCGUAAAGCGCACGUAGGCGGACCAGAAAGUUGGGGGUGAAAUCCCGGGGGCUCAACCCCGGAACUGCCUCCAAAACUAUUGGUCUAGAGUUCGAGAGAGGUGAGUGGAAUUCCAAGUGUAGAGGUGAAAUUCGUAGAUAUUUGGAGGAACACCAGUGGCGAAGGCGGCUCACUGGCUCGAUACUGACGCUGAGGUGCGAAAAGUGUGGGGAGCAAAACAGGAUUAGAUACCCUGGUAGUCCACACCGUAAAACGAUGAAUGCCAGUCGUCGGGUAGCAUGCUAUUCGGUGACACACCUAACGGAUUAAGCAUUCCGCCUGGGGAGUACGGUCGCAAGAUUAAAACUCAAAGGAAUU